GACGAACGCUGGCGGCAGGCCUAACACAUGCAAGUCGAGCGCCCCGCAAGGGGAGCGGCGGGCGGGUGAGUAACGCGUGGGAACGUGCCCUUUGCUACGGAAUAGCCCCGGGAAACUGGGAGUAAUACCGUAUAAGCCCUACGGGGGAAAGAUUUAUCGGCAAAGGAUCGGCCCGCGUUGGAUUAGGUAGUUGGUGGGGUAAUGGCCUACCAAGCCGACGAUCCAUAGCUGGUUUGAGAGGAUGAUCAGCCACACUGGGACUGAGACACGGCCCAGACUCCUACGGGAGGCAGCAGUGGGGAAUCUUAGACAAUGGGCGCAAGCCUGAUCUAGCCAUGCCGCGUGAGCGAUGAAGGCCUUAGGGUUGUAAAGCUCUUUCGUGGGGGAAGAUAAUGACUGUACCCCAAGAAGAAGCCCCGGCUAACUCCGUGCCAGCCGCCGCGGUAAUAC
rnacentral:rRNA from 1 species